GGCUGGUCCAAAGGUAGUGAGUUAUUUCAAUUGAUUGUUCACAGUCAGUUAUAGAUUGGACUCCGUGUUCUACUCUUCCCUUCUCACUACUACACUUGACUAGUUCUAG
rnacentral:Y_RNA from 1 species